rnacentral:rRNA from 1 species
GACGAACGCUGGCGGCGUGCUUAACACAUGCAAGUCGAACGGAAAGGCCCUGCUUUGGGGGUGUUCUCGAGUGGCGAACGGGUGAGUAACACGUGUGUAACCUGCCCGUGACUGUGGGAUAACUUCAGGAAACUGGGUCUAAUACCGGAUAGGAGCUCCUGCUGCAGUGUGGGGGUGGGAAAUUUUCGGCGGUUGGGGAUGGACUCGCGGCUUAUCAGCUUGUUGGUGGGGUAGUGGCUUACCAAGGCUUUGACGGGUAGCCGGCCUGAGAGGGUGACCGGCCACAUUGGGACUGAGAUACGGCCCAGACUCCUACGGGAGGCAGCAGUGGGGAAUAUUGCACAAUGGGUGGAAGCCUGAUGCAGCAACGCCGUGUGCGGGAUGACGGCCUUCGGGUUGUAAACCGCUUUCGCUCAUGACGAAGCUUUGUGUGACGGUAGUGGGUAAAGAAGCACCGGCUAACUACGUG